AUGCUCAAGCAGAGAAUCUUGGGUUUUGCGGCCAUUGAAAGAACAUGCAAGCGCCAGGCUUCGCGUAUCACUUGGCUGCGUUCUGGAGAUGCGAGCACGAAGCUUUUUCAUGCAAAAAUGGUGUCCAGAAGGAGGAAGAAUUUUGUGCAUGCUCUGUCCCAAGGAAAUCGCAUUGCCUCCUCCCAUGAGGACAAAGCGGACCUCGUCCACGAUCACUUCUCCGGGCUGCUGGGCACAAGGAAAAACCGUUCUAGCACCAUCAACUGGGAGAUGUUGAACCUGCCGCAAGUUCAGGGUGACAGCAUAGAU
rnacentral:rRNA from 1 species